UGCAAGUCGAGCGAGAUCUUCGGAGCUUAGCUGGUUGACUUUAUGAGUAACACGGUGGGAACCUGCCUUUAUGUAUGCCUGGCAGUGGGAGACAACUGCUAAUACCGAAUGUGCCCUAUGGGGGAUCCUUUAUCGCCUAAGGAUGGGCCCGCGUUGGAGCGCUAUCAUGGGGGGCUAAGGGGGAUUAUAGGCUAGGAUCCAUAAUGGGUCUGAAAGGAGAACAUCCCACACUGGUACUGAAACACGAUCCAUACCCCUGCGGCAGACACACGGGGGAAACUCCUAAGAAUGGCAGCAAGGGUGAAUCUUGCAUGCCGGGUGAGUGAUGAAGGCCCUACGGCCGCGUGUGUGAAGAAGGUCUUCGGAUUGUAAAGCCCUUUACUUAGGAAGCCCCGGCAAACUUCUAGUCCCUUGUUGUUUUAACGUUAACGGGGCAAUAGUCGCUGGCAAACUUCGCGCGUAACGCCCAUAUUGCCGGACUGUUGCAAUUACUCAGAGGUACUGGUGAUCAACCCUGGAACUCUAGGUGUUUAAUGGAUUCUUGGAAUCCAAGAGAUCACCCUGCACGGGACAUGCAUAAUGGGAAAUUACUAUUUGACUUAUGGAAUGGAGUUCCUGUUUCGUCGUAUGGCUAAGAGAUCACGCUGAGCAGUGAGGAAAUGGACAGCCUGAUCCUUUUUGACUCUUAUUUCAAGACGUGCGAAUGAAAGGUGAUCGAUACCGUGUUAGUUCUCUUGCUGUCCACCCCAAUUACUAUUAAUCUCAACUGGGACGACUUUCGAACCUUACUCG
rnacentral:rRNA from 1 species